CCUACGGGUGGCAGCAGUGAGGAAUCUUGGUCAAUGGGCGAGAGCCUGACCCAGCCACGCCGCGUGAGGGAGUACUGCCCUAUGGGUUGUAAACCUCUUUUGUCGGGGAGCAAAAGCCGGACGUGUCCGGCUGUGCGAGUACCCGUAGAAAAAGCAUCGGCUAACUCCGUGCCAGCAGCCGCGGUAAUACGGAGGAUGCGAGCGUUAUCCGGAUUUAUUGGGUUUAAGGGGUGCGCAGGCGGAUUUUUAAGUCAGCGGUCAAAUCGUGGGGCUCAACCCCAUCCAGCCGUUGAAACUGGGGGACUAGAGUGUGCGAGAGGUAUGCGGAAUGCGAGGUGUAGCGGUGAAAUGCAUAGAGAUCACGCAGAACCCCGAUUGCGAAGGCAGCAUACCGGUGCACAACUGACGCUCAGGCACGAAAGCGUGGGUAUCGAACAGGAUUAGAUACCCCAGUAGUC
rnacentral:rRNA from 1 species